UGGGGAAUCUUGCGCAAUGGGCGAAAGCCUGACGCAGCAACGCCGCGUGGGGGAUGAAGGCUCUCGGGUCGUAAACCCCUUUCAGCAGGGACGAAACUGACGGUACCUGCAGAAGAAGCCCCGGCCAACUACGUGCCAGCAGCCGCGGUAACACGUAGGGGGCAAGCGUUGUCCGGAAUCAUUGGGCGUAAAGAGCUCGUAGGCGGUUCGGUAAGUCGGGUGUGAAAACCCAGGGCUCAACCCUGGGAUGCCAUUCGAUACUGCUGUGACUCGAGUCCGGUAGGGGAGCACGGAAUUCCUGGUGUAGCGGUGAAAUGCGCAGAUAUCAGGAGGAACACCAGUGGCGAAGGCGGUGCUCUGGGCCGGAACUGACGCUGAGGAGCGAAAGCAUGGGUAGCGAACA
rnacentral:rRNA from 1 species